AGCUAGUUGGUGAGGUAAUGGCCCACCAAGGCGACGAUCGGUAGCCGGACUGAGAGGUUGAACGGCCACAUUGGGACUGAGACACGGCCCAGACUCCUACGGGAGGCAGCAGUGGGGAAUAUUGCACAAUGGGGGAAACCCUGAUGCAGCGACGCCGCGUGGAGGAAGAAGGUCUUCGGAUUGUAAACUCCUGUUGUUGAGGAAGAUAAUGACGGUACACAACAAGGAAGUGACGGCUAACUACGUGCCAGCAGCCGCGGUAAAACGUAGGUCACAAGCGUUGUCCGGAAUUACUGGGUGUAAAGGGAGCGCAGGCGGGCGAUCAAGUUGGAAGUGAAAUCCAUGGGCUCAACCCAUGAACUGCUUUCAAAACUGAUUGUCUUGAGUAGUGCAGAGGUAGGCGGAAUUCCCGGUGUAGCGGUGGAAUGCGUAGAUAUCGGGAGGAACACCAGUGGCGAAGGCGGCCUACUGGGCACCAACUGACGCUGAGGCUCGAAAGUGUGGGUAGCAAACAGGAUUAGAUACCCUGGUAGUCCACACCGUAAACGAUGAUUACUAGGUGUUGGAGGAUUGACCCCUUCAGUGCCGCAGUUAACACAGUAAGCAAUCCACCUGGGGAGUACGACCGCAAGGUUGAAACUCAAAGGAAUUGACGGGGGCCCGCACAAGCAGUGGAGUAUGUGGUUUAAUUCGACGCAACGCGAAGAACCUUACCAAGUCUUGACAUCCUGCGACGGACAUAGAAAUAUGUUUUUCCUUCGGGACGCAGAGACAGGUGGUGCAUGGUUGUCGUCAGCUCGUGUCGUGAGAUGUUGGGUUAAGUCCCGCAACGAGCGCAACCCUUAUGGUCAGUUACUACGCAAGAGGACUCUGGCCAGACUGCCGUUGACAAAACGGAGGAAGGUGGGGAUGACGUCAAAUCAUCAUGCCCUUUAUGACUUGGGCUACACACGUACUACAAUGGCGUUAAACAAAGAGAAGCAAGACCGCGAGGUGGAGCAAAACUCAGAAACAACGUCCCAGUUCGGACUGCAGGCUGCAACUCGCCUGCACGAAGUCGGAAUUGCUAGUAAUCGCAGAUCAGCAUGCUGCGGUGAAUACGUUCCCGGGCCUUGUACACACCGCCCGUCACACCAUGAGAGCCGGGGGGACCCGAAGUCGGUAGUCUAACCGCAAGGAGGACGCCGCCGAAGGUAAAACUGGUGAUUGGGGUGAAGUCGUAACAAGGUAGCCGUAGGAGAACCUGCGGCUG
rnacentral:rRNA from 1 species